rnacentral:rRNA from 1 species
AUACGGAGGAUGCGAGCGUUAUCCGGAUUUAUUGGGUUUAAAGGGUGCGUAGGCUGUGCGUUAAGUCAGGGGUGAAAUGCCGUCGCUCAACGACGGAGCUGCCCUUGAUACUGGCGUGCUGGAGUACGGAUGCCGUUGGAGGAAUGAGUGGUGUAGCGGUGAAAUGCUUAGAUAUCACUCAGAACACCGAUUGCGAAGGCAUCUGACGAAUCCGUCAUUGACGCUGAGGCACGAAAGCGUGGGGAUAGAACAGGAUUAGAUACCCUGGUAUUCCACGCCGUAAACGAUGAUGACUAACCGUCGGCGAUAGACAGCCGGUGGCCAAGCGAAAGCGAUAAGUCAUCCACCUGGGGAGUACGUCGGCAACGAUGAAACUCAAAGGAAUUGACGGGG